rnacentral:rRNA from 1 species
AGACGAACCAAGCGAACGUUAUUCGGAAUUACUGGGCUUAAAGCGCGUGUAGGCGGACUACCACGUCGGUCGUUGAAAUCCCCCGGCUUAACCGGGGAACUGGCGCCGAUACGAGUAGUCUGGAGGUGGGUAGGGGAGACUGGAACUUCCGGUGGAGCGGUGAAAUGCGUUGAGAUCGGAAGGAACGCCCGCGGCGAAAGCGAGUCUCUGGACCCAAACUGACGCUGAGACGCGAAAGCCAGGGGAGCAAACGGGAUUAGAUACCCCGGUAGUCCUGGCUGUAAACAUUGGGCACUGGGUAGUGGAACCGCCGAUGGUUUCACUGCCGCAGGGAAACCGUGAAGUGCCCCGCCUGGGGAGUAUGGUCGCAAGGCUGAA